UUGUGUCACUGUGUAAGAAAUUUUAUGAACUGGAACAGCCAUAGCAACAAACCAGCUAAUGAGAACUGUUUUGAUUAAGACACAGUAUUGGCUGUGAGAGGCAUGUGAUCCAGCCUAAGUCUGGGUGUGUCUUAGUCUUCUCUGUGUUGCUUUUCUUCUGAUCUCCAAGUUAAGAGUUGUUGAUGUUCCCCAGAGCAGAAUGAAACUUUGUUUUCCAGAUUGGAUUCAACUGGAGGAGAUGCAAUGGCCUUAGCAAAUGGCCAGAAGGCAAAAGUCAUGGGAAAAGAAGUUCAAGCAAUGGGUGUGCUAAACAUAAAGAAGAUAUAGGCAACAGGUAUGCCAGCUGCAAAGUGACGGAUUCAGAAUUCAUGUCAGCAAGUUUUCAACAGUGGUUGGGACAACUAGGAAUAAGACAUAGAUGGACAAAUCCGUACACAGCAGCUGAGAAUGGUGUGACUGAAAGACAAAAUGGAGUCUUGCAGACCAUGAAAGAUUCACUGCUGGAGGAUUCUGAUCUGAGCAGGUUGUAUGCAAAUAUGCAAAUUAUUUGGUCAAUAGGCUGUGGAGUUCCUCUAUCAAUGAUACUCCAUAUGCCUUGCUCUAUGGGAGAAAGCCAUCUCUAGCACAUUUAAGGGUGUUUGGAACAAAGCAUGGGUGCCUAUUCCAAAGGCAAUCAGGAGAAAAGGGCAACAGAAGGCUAGAAAGCUCAGGUUUAUGGGCUAUGAGCCUGGCUCAAAGAGCUAUCGCUUUAUUGAUGGGAGCAGAAGUAUAGUAAUUUUCAGAUCUGCUAGCUUUACAGAGCAGAAUUGGGGCAAAAUUGAUGCCAAUUCUGGGGAUGAUCCACUUAGUGACAGUGACUCACUUUGUGAUGCUGUCAGCGUUCAGGGAGGAGAAGCUGAAAAACAGCAAGAAAAGGAGUCAGAAGAAGAUGGUGACUCUGAUGUGAAGCAGGAAAGGGUUGACAGUCAAGAGCAGUCAAUCCCACUCAGGUCAGAGCGAAGGAACAAGGGGAUUCUACCUGACAGGUAUUCUGCUGAGAAAGUAAAGGUGUGUAAUAUGUGGUAUGAGCCAAGAAACUAUCACGAUGUAUUGGCACUACCCAAAGUGGAGCAAGUGAAGUGGAAAGAGGCCAUGGACAAAGAAAUGAAAAUGUUCACCUCUAAGACUUUGCCACAAGCUGUAGGAUGUAAAUGGGUAAACAAAAAGAAAUGUUACACAACAAUGAAGUCCAAUAUAAGGUAACAUUAGUGGCACAGGGAUUUUCGCAGAAGAAAAAUGUGCACUAUGAUGAGGUAUUUGCACCAAUGGUAAAAAGUGAAACUAUAAAGUUGGCACUAGCAUUGGCAAUAGCAUGUGGUCAUAAAAUUUGGCACUUUGAUAUAACCACAGCAUUUCUCAAUGCAGAGUUGGAGGAAGAAAUUUACAUGGUUCAAGCACCAGGGUAUGAAAGUAAAAAGCCUGGCACUAUGUAUAAAUUGAACAAGGCCAUUUAUGGGCUGAAGCAAUCAGCCAGAAAUUGGAACAUCUGUUUAGAUACAGCAUUGAAGGAUCUUGGGUUCAAGAGUUAUAAGGCUGAUGGUUGCAUAUAUACUGCAAGUUUCCAUGGUGGGGAUUGCCAAUUAUUAGCAUUGGUGAAUGUUCUUUGCUUCAUUGCAAAGAUGUAGCACAGGUGAAGGAAUUUGCUAAUCAAUUGGAGUAAAAUUUGAGUUGAAAAGUCUGGCUGAAAUACAAAACUAUCUUGGUGUAGAGAAACAACAAAAUGAGAAAGGUGGCUACGUUCUCAGUCAUAGAAGGAAAAUGAACAGCUGUUGGAGAGAUACAACAUGAAGGAUUGUAAUUCUGCUCCAAUAUCUAUUAGCAUAGAUUUUCACAAUACUUUGGGUGAGGACAAAAGUGAUCAGGAGAUAUACUAUAUCAGUCAGCCAUAGGAAGCCUGUUGUAUCUAUCACAGUGGUCCAGACCAGACAUAGCUUGUGCAGUAAGCAUCUUAAAUUACUUUACUGCCUCACCAACGCAGUUGCAUUGGAUGGGUGUGAAGAGAAUUCUCAGGUAUUUGAAGAGAACGGUGAAUUUGGGUCUUCAAAUACAGAUCUCUGAAGAGUUAAAGUUUUAAUGUUAUGUUAACAGUGAUUAUGCCAAUGAUGUGCAAACCAGAAAGUCCAAUUCUGGGUUUGUGGUAUUAUUUGGAGGGAUUUUAAUUGGAUGGAAGUCCAGAAAACAAACAACUGUAGCUAUUUCUACUGCAGAGGCAGAAUUUAUUGCUCUCUCUGAACUUUGUUCAGAGGUAACCUGGUAGGUACAGCUGUUAAAGGAUUUAAAUAUAGAAGUUAAAGAAGCUGUAACAGUAUUUGAAGAUAAUGCUGCUUGCAUUAAAAUGGCAACAGGUGACAGAGUGAAAAGUAGAAGCAAGCAUGUGGACAUUAAGUAUUGUAAUGUCAGAGAAGCCAUCAAAAGUAAACUAAUUCGCUUGUUUCAUUGUUCUUCAGAUUACAAUCUAGCAGAUGUAAUGACCAGGCCAUUGGAUGGAGUACACUGUGGGAAGAGUAUUAAAUUAUUUGGUUUUAUAUCUAUUCCAGUCAUAAAGGGAGGAGUGUAAUUUCUUCUGUGUAAGAAAUUUUAUGAACUGGAAUAGCCAUAGCAACAAACCAGCCAAUGGGAACUAUUUUUGAUUAAGACACAGUAUUGGCUGUGUGAGGCAUGUGAUCCAGCCUAGGUGUGGGCAUGUCUUAGUCUUCUCUGUGUUUUUUUCUGAUCCCCAAGUUAAGAAUUGUUGAUGUUCCCCAGAGUUGAAUGAAACUGUAUGUAUCAUGUUUAUAUAUAUUUUAUAGAUAAAGUUUUUCUAAACUAUGCCUCCUGCUCAUUUUGAAUGUGUGCUUAUU